rnacentral:rRNA from 1 species
AGCGAACGCUGGCGGCAGGCCUAAUACAUGCAAGUCGAACGCACCUUCGGGUGAGUGGCGGACGGGUGAGUAACGCGUGGGAACGUGCCCUUUGGUUCGGAACAACACAGGGAAACUUGUGCUAAUACCGAAUGUGCCCUUCGGGGGAAAGAUUUAUCGCCAUUGGAGCGGCCCGCGUUGGAUUAGCUUGUUGGUGGGGUAAAAGCCCACCAAGGCGACGAUCCAUAGCUGGUCUGAGAGGAUGAUCAGCCACACUGGGACUGAGACACGGCCCAGACUCCUACGGGAGGCAGCAGUAGGGAAUCUUGCGCAAUGGGCGAAAGCCUGACGCAGCCAUGCCGCGUGAAUGAUGAAGGUCUUAGGAUUGUAAAAUUCUUUCACCGGGGAAGAUAAUGACGGUACCCGGAGAAGAAGCCCCGGCUAACUUCGUGCCAGUAGCCGCGGUAAUACGAAGGGGGCUAGCGUUGCUCGGAAUUACUGGGCGUAAAGGGCGCGUAGGCGGACAUUUAAGU